CUGUCCUCUUCCAAGAGUGCCAUGGUUGUGUGUGUUGAACUCAUAGAUGCAGCCUAAAGCCAGGGAGCCCGGGUAGGUUUCCACAGGCUCACCAAGACACCGCAGUGGCCCCAGGGCCCUAGUUAAAUGUUAACUGCUGCCAGCAGUGUGUCUGCAGGGCAGUGAGCAGGUACUAGUGGCUGCAAGUUCAGCAUGCUCUAAUUGGCAACACUAACCUGCCUUGGCAUGCUCUCAGGUGUCUGUUUCACCUCGUUACAGCUUGCUUCGGGACUGCUGCAUGUUCCCUGUAUUUUUGUUGUCUUAAGUGUAGUGGAGGUAAUUUUGUAGGCUUAACCCUUUCUAACUAUGAAUUCUCCUUUAUUCUUUUAAAAUAUUCUGAGACAGAUAUGUUGUUUGCUUUUGCCCUUAAAAUUCAAAUGAGCAGUCUGUCUUACAUGAGCCGUACGUUUUGGAGGCAUUCAUAGCUGGUUUAAUUAUUCCCAUGCUGUUUGCUGUGACUCGGAAGUGGAAAUGCCCAGUGAGCUCAUAUUAACUUUUGAAAUCCUGACAUGUUAAUGCACUACCUACUUAAGUGCUUAAUUAGCAUAGUAACUAAGUAACUGGGCUUCGAGUAAACUGCCUGAGCUGGCAUCCUGUCAGGGGUAGGAGGGGCACUGUUAGUGGCUGCUUGAUUGUCAGCGAGUGAGGUGUUUCUGAUAGAGAGAGGGUUUUCUCUCCGGGUUAAUGAAGACUGCAAGGAAGUCAGCAAAUGUGGCUGCUGGGCUGGCAGCUCCCAGGAACGAAGAACACGGAGGAGCUGUGUGAAUAGAGAAGGAAAAUAUCUUCAGGGGAGGCCACCCAUGCCCCACCCUAGUGUUGGCGACAUUCUUUGUGAAUGCCAUUCAGGGAAGCCCCCUUCACUAUGCUUAGCCGCCAUAAAGCUCCUCAUUAAGCAACGUCAGAAGAUGUGGAACUUCUGACACUCUCAGCCUUUUAGCCUGAAAAACCUGAAGUAGAAGAAAAGGACCUUUUCUACAUUUUAGAUGUUCAAAAUACUGACCCAGCUGGUGUGGAAAUUUCAUUUUUUCCAACUUAUGAUAAUGAAUUGAAUCAUUAAAAAAAAUUAUAAAACAUCUCCAUAUUGCGUCCAUAGAGAUUCACUAGGAUGAUUUGCACUGAAUGACUUUUUACAUGGAAUGGAUUUCUUUUCCAAAGUUCAACGAGAGUCAAGACUACAUCCGUACAUGUUUAGGAGCCAAAAAUUAUACGUUAGGCCAGUACCAAGUGCUUCUGGAAUCCCACCCUUAACACCAGCCUUCUUAAGUGCCAACCUGCUUGCCUUCUUUCCAGUGCUGGAAAAAAAUCCCUGAAAUCUCUGACCCUCAGCCCCAAAGCAGAAGAAAUGAGCCCUAAAAACGUAGAGAUGUUGCAACCCAAGUACCCAAGUGAAGGCAAAGGUCUAUCUGAAAAUGCCUUGGGUUCCAGAAGAUUCAUGUUCACAGCAUGAAUAGAGACUGGCUAUUCAGAACUGGUAAGGGUGACUGAAAGGUCAGAGAAGAUGCUGCAGGAAGACUUUCAAGCAACAAUAAAUAUGGAAGUUGUUCCAGAGGGUGGGACUGGUCUUCUGUUUAUCUGGUACUAGAGGCACUUUUGGGGGGUUGUAGCUGCUCCUCACUCUGCAAAUGUUUGUCCAUUACUGUUAAAAGGAGUUAAAUGCACACAGAUAUGGAAGAGGGACUUGACUAUUGACUCUCAGUGUUCCAAGGUCAGCUGAAGUCUGGACCUUUUACUUUCUCUAUGCUCCACCAAGUGAGAACAAAACUUACGCAAGACCUCCUCAGGGAGACUGGGCCUGAGGUUUGUUACAGUGCACAAGGCUAAAAUUCAAAUGUGAAGCACAGCUGUUUGGACAGGAACCUUGGGCCUCUUUGUUUUGAGCUGCAGUGACCCACUCAGCCUCACCAACACAUGAAACUCUGAAAUCCCUGCACAGCGAAUGACUGAGCUGGGAAGUUGCCUGGCAGGCAGUGACCAGUCUAGGAUCCUCCGGGAUCUGCAGGUGGAAGGGCUGUUCUUUCCCUUUCUUUCCCCUCACUCACAGUGCUUGCACCCAUUGUUCCAUCCAUCUGCACGUUUGAAUCUCUGCCCACCAGCCAAACUGCUGACCCAGUGAUCUCGUGGCAGAUGGUGACAUUCCUCCUUCUGCCGAGGACAGGUAUUUUUGAGCCCCUGGUAACAGGUGAAAUAAAAAGGGAAGCAGUAUGGCAUAAACCAGUCAGUUUAAUUGGAGACAGACCUCCUCUUUUAAAUACUUUCUAUAUCCCCCGGGUAAUGCAUGUAUUUUGAAGUAUAUAAUACAUAAUAAAGUGCUAAGUAAACCUUCUCCUUGAUUUAGCUGCAAUUCCACAAAUAUUUAAAAUAUUAGCAAUGAGUAACUUUGCAGAACCAAGACAGGAUAAGCUGCAUUAAUAACCAAAUGUUAAAUAAGUUGUUAAAAGGACUGGCAAUGGCUCUGAUGGGUUGGAUGAGGUGGAAGCUAUUGGCUGAUUGGGCUUUUCCUGGAGUUGGUGAUAGAUCCUCUUACACCCCCUUACAUUUAGAAUCUAAUUCUAAAUUAUACAAUCAUCCAAUUCACUAUCAUCUUCUUUGCAAAAAUUAUAUAUAUUUUCUCUGUUAAUGCCUUAUCACAACAAGAUAUGAGGUAUCUUUUUCUGUUCUGAUUAAUUUCUGUUUCAAAUGAAUUUUGCUGUUGCAAAGCACUUUAAAUGCUAUGGAAAAGACUGCGGAAAAACCCCACAAUUUUUUGUGCAGCGAUAUAAUGAACAUCUUUGUGCAUCCAAGAUAAUAGGAAUUCCAGCAUUCAUGCUUACUAUAAAAUACAGCAAGCAAAGACUAAAUAAAUCUUGAUUUUUUAAUACAGAAAUAAUUUUGACUGCAUAUUUGGCUGAGUAUGACAUGGAAACUGAUGAUUGUUUGUUCUUUGCUCCUUUUAUAAUUUUUUUUUUUCUCUGCAUUAAAAUCCCACAUGAGAAACAAAUUUUUUGUCUAGGAACAAACUAUUUCUUUUUUGGGGACUGGGUUCGAAUGAUUUGGGUAGUAUGUCUGUUUCUUUUCAGCUGGGAAAAUGCAAGGAGUAUAAAAUCCAGAUGGACAGCACAUGACGCUGGAACCAGCCCGGGCCAAUCAGCCACGUCACACUGAUUAAAGGAAACCUAUAAGAAAUUAAGUAAAAACCCAAACACCAGAUAGUGAGAGCAGCAAACUGGCUGCACUGUGGGGUUUCAUCACAGCUCUGGCCUCCCCACACCUCGCUGAAUGUUAACCGGUGUUUAAUAUUCAUUAAGGUGUGGGGAGGCAGGCAGGCCUUGCAGAGGGAUGGAGCAGCAUCUGGAAUCCCUACGGAUAACAGCAGGAAUGUUUAUUCUUCUUUGUUUAUUAUUCUGAGUGUGUGCUCUCUCCCUCUUCCUCCCUUUGUCUCCCUUUGUGUAAUAAAGCUCCUCCAGGCAUAUAAAGCAAGUCAUCUGGAAUUGUGCAACUUCUUCUGCCAGGAAGCUGGAAAAGCUCCUCUCCUGUGCAGAGAGUAAAAUACAGACUUGUCACAACCACUGAGAAAUUACAGAAAUACAGCAUUUGUCUUCGGGUUACAUUUAUAUAGCAAAGUGCUGCGGCAAAUAAUUGUGCUUCUCAGUGUUACAAAAACAAAAUCUCAUUUCAUCCUGUCCAAGAUGUUAUGUUUAUAUAAAACUUUAAAAAAGUAAUUGGCAUAUUUUAAGAUAACAUGAAGCCUGCAAAGUGCAUUAAAAGGCCUCAGUGUCAAAGUUGCUUUGUGUGCCAACGGGUGCAGAGAAGGAAGAGGAAAUCAACAGAGAGGAGCAUCUUUUACAGCCACAUGGCCAGUGAAAUUUUAUAUUUAUUCUUUGGGGAAAGGACAGAGUAGGUGCAGAGCUGCUGGUUGGAUGGGAGCCGGCCGUGUUUUUAUUGGCAGGCGAGCCUGAGUGGCUGAAAGGUGGCCAUUAACACCCUGACACGAAGUGCUGACAGGGCGAUUAUAAGAUUAACACCCAGUGUUAUAUUAACAGUGUCAAAACCUCCCCUCACCUGUCAGGGAGGAAUAAUGGCACGAAGAAAAACAUUAUAGACAAACGGAGAUUUUAACUUGAAAAUACCACACAGCCACUCUUUCAAAUUGGUGUAAAUAUAAGUGACCUACAAAAGACCAGGAAAAUUAAAUUUUAAUAAUAUAAUAAUUGUUAUAUAUUAUUCUAUAAUAAUAAUUUUAAAUUAUUGUUUUGCAAGUGUGCUUGACCACUUGUCUUGCCAUUUUUCUUCCACAAUUUCCUCCCUUACAGUGUAUAUGCAUAUAUUUUGAUUAUAUUCCAUGUUUUAUGCAAUGAUUCUGUCUGUCCUAUAUGUUUUUCUGUAAUAGCCAUAGACAAAAAGCAUAACAGGUCUUCUUUAUAUAUAAUUCGGUUUCUAAACAAGAUCAAGGCAGAGUCAAGGCAUCCAAAAGGCCAGAAAGUGCUAAUGUGUAGCAUAAGAAAAGUUCAGCUGUUUCAAGCCAGAUUUUGGGGGUUUUCAGAGAGCUGCAGGGCCAACAGAUCAUGAGAGUUUAAAAGUUGUCGAAACCCCUAAAGAAAGUGGAUGUAGUUCACAUAUGAGUUGUCACAAAUUACUGAAGUGCCAGCUGAAAAGUUCAAACGUCUCAGAAGCAGAUCCGACAGAAACAUUUAAUAACUAAAGAAGGAUAAAGGAUUUAUGAACAUUGAUUGGUUUGGGGGCUGUUGGAAGACAAUGCAAAAAGCUCAUGAACACUUUCAGAGCUUCUCUCAUGCUCUGCAGAAAGCAGAGUAUUUAUUAUAGCAACUGAUGAGAAUUGCCAAAGGUAGGGAGUUUCCAGUAAACAGGAUUCCAGUUUUAGGAACAACCUGUUAAAGUAUUUGUAUGUGUAAUUUUAUUACAGCAUCUGCUUUGGCUGACACAAAGGUCUCCAGGGCAAUUCUGAACUUUCAAGUCAUCUAUAGAAUCGAGCGUUUUCAUCUACAUAUCUUUCAUACUUCAAAAAAUGAAAAAUAUUACAUAAUUGAGAUAAAAUGAUGUUUAAUCAUGUUUAAUUGAUGAUAUUCAGGCAGUUUUCCAUGCUGAAAAGAGCCUCAGCAUAUUUUCUAAAAUGUCAGAAAUGCCUUCAGAGAUUUUUGGCAUUUCAGAAGAUUUCUUUUUCAAAACGAGGAAGAGUCAAGACACACUAUCAGGAGAGCAGGGUAUUCUAUAGUCUAUUUUAUACCAAGAUCAGGUGGCCACUAAAAAGACACUCAAACAGUGAGAUAUUGCAUACAAUACAGUUUUCAGGGAUUUCAAUUAAUGUAUGAAGGCUUUGUUUGCCAAGUGAAUGACACAGACUUGAGCUAUAAAAUGCUCAACUCCGCUGUAUUAGCUGCUCAGCAAAGGUUCACUGUGCUUUGUUUUACUUUUCUUAGCAGGCUUAAGGUUGUGGGAACCCCCUGUUGCAUUUAUCUGCCUCUGGAAGCAGGCAAAACUCCUGUUUCAUAGCAAAGGGAGGGUUGAACAGCUCUUCUGUCCUCUUUGCUGGGUGAGGCAGAUGUGCUCUUUGAGUGCUGCUUGUGCCAGGGUGUACUGAGAGGGGAUUUUGUGCUUGGUGGUGCUAAAAUCAGUGAUCAAUGCAUGCCACAGCUUUGCUGUCUCUGAGCUCUGAAAGGGAGCAGAGCAUCAGGCUGGAUCUGCUAAUCCUGAUCCCUUCCUUUCUGCACAUCUUGGUGUGACAAGGAGAGGUGACGGGUCACCCUCUGCCCCAGCCAGAGUCCUCCUUUCACUGCUGCGAAUCAAGACACACUGGCAAAGCUGAGGUGGCAGCCAACAACAAAAAAGCCACACAAUGAAAGCCACCACAUUGUUAACAAGCGAUGAAAUCUUGUGCAGACAUGAAAGUGGGAGGGGAACUACCUGAGACCUUAUUUACAAAGGAGCAAAGACAUAAAGGAUGACCUUCUGUGACCACUGAAGGGAUAGCUUCAUCAGGAUGUGUUUGUGCCAGAACAUGACUCCCACCUGUCAGUCAUGCUGAAGUGCUGGGAAAUUUACUGUAGCCGUUUACAAGCCUUUUCCAGUGAACAAGGAAUGUUAUUUUUGGUUUGGUUUGUGUUAGGGUUUGCAGUGAUGCCUUUACGCACUGAGAAGAAAAUGAAUAUACACUCUUGACAUAAGGUUCAUGGUCCUGCCACCACUGUGCAGACCAACGAAAAAAUUCAUUUUAAAAUG